AACGAACGCUGGCGGCAUGCCUAACACAUGCAAGUCGAACGAGACCUUCGUGUCUAGUGGCGCACGGGUGCGUAACGCGUGGGAACCUGCCCUUAGGUUCGGAAUAACUCCCCGAAAGGGGUGCUAAUACCGGAUAAUUUCUUCGGACCAAAGAUUUAUCGCCUUUGGAUGGGCCCGCGUUGGUUUAGCUAGUUGGUAGUGUAAAAGCCUACCAAGGCGACGAUCCAUAGCUGGUCUGAGAGGAUGAUCAGCCACACUGGGACUGAGACACGGCCCAGAAUCCUACGGGAGGCAGCAGUGGGGAAUAUUGGACAAUGGGCGAAAGCCUGAUCCAGCAAUGCCGCGUGAGUGAUGAAGGCCUUAGGGUUGUAAAGCUCUUUUACCCGGGAUGAUAAUGACAGUACCGGGAGAAUAAGCUCCGGCUAACUCCGUG
rnacentral:rRNA from 1 species